ACAAAGUCGAAGAAGGGGAGUUCCGGGAUUAUUUUGGUCCAAGAGAGGAAGAUUCGUGGCUGAAAGGUCUUCUGCCCAAAACCCAGGAUGUAGCCCCGGAGAUGCCAAGCCGAAAAAGUAGUAGGCCUGGUCGGGUGGCCCGUUAUAGCCCUUAGAGUUGUCAUCAUACAACCUGUCAUUAGGGUUCUGAUGAAAGCAAGGUGGUACCGCGGAAAACAGCUUCCGUCCUUGAU
rnacentral:ncRNA from 1 species